AUUGCUUCUCGGCUUUUUGGCAAAGAUUAGAUGUAGUAUCUGUUCUUAUUAGUUUAACAGCAUCUCAUAACUGUGUGGUGGAGACAAAGAUAUCAUUUUAUGCUAGGAAUGUGU
ensembl:snRNA U2 U2 spliceosomal RNA